rnacentral:rRNA from 1 species
ACUCCUACGGGAGGCUGCAGUAGGGAAUAUUGGUCAAUGGGCGAGAGCCUGAACCAGCCAUGCCGCGUGCAGGAAGACGGCCUUCUGGGUUGUAAACUGCUUUUAUCAGGGAGGAAAAAGCCCCUGCGGGGGAAAUUGACAGUACCUGAUGAAUAAGCACCGGCUAACUCCGUGCCAGCAGCCGCGGUAAUACGGAGGGUGCAAGCGUUGUCCGGAUUUAUUGGGUUUAAAGGGUGCGUAGGCGGCUAUUUAAGUCAGUGGUGAAAACCGGCAGCUCAACUGCCGGCCUGCCAUUGAUACUGGACAGCUUGAGUAUAGAUGAGGCAGGCGGAAUUUAUGGUGUAGCGGUGAAAUGCAUAGAUACCAUAAAGAACACCGAUAGCGAAGGCAGCUUGCUAAACUAUAACUGACGCUGAGGCACGAAAGCAUGGGUAGCGAACAGGAUUAGAUACCCUGGUAGUCCAUGCCGUAAACGAUGAUUACUCGAUGUGUGCGAUAGACAGCACGCGUCUUAGCGAAAGCGUUAAGUAAUCCACCUGGGGAGUACGCCCGCAAGGGUGAAACUCAAAGGAAUUGACGGGGGUCCGCACAAGCGGUGGA